rnacentral:rRNA from 1 species
GACGAACCGUCCAAACGUUAUUCGGAAUCACUGGGCUUACAGAGUUCGUAGGCGGUCUGGAAAGUUGGGUGUGAAAUCCCUCGGCUCAACCGAGGAACUGCGCUCAAAACUACCCGACUCGAGGGAGAUAGAGGAAAGCGGAACUGAUGGUGGAGCGGUGAAAUGCGUUGAUAUCAUCAGGAACACCGGCGGCGAAGGCGGCUUUCUGGGUCUUACCUGACGCUGAGGAACGAAAGCUAGGGGAGCGAACGGG